UCCAUUGAAUAGCUCAGUUGGUAGAGCACCAGACAUGAAUGCUGGAGUCCUAGGUUUAAUCCCUGGUGGUUGAA